ensembl:lncRNA
UUUUUUUGUAAUGCAGGAUAUCUCAGAUUUCCUGGAAUCUAUUACUGUUUGUCUUUUUUUUCAUAUAGCUGCCAUGAGAACAGAUGGAGUCACAGAGAAGUGUGGCCUAGAAGGAGAAGAUUAAGGCAGAAGGAGUCAAAGGAGAACAGAAUUCAUCUAAAUGAGGUCUUACUGGAUGUUAUUCUUUGUAAGACAUAGGCUAGAGAGCCAUAAACAGGAACUAUUUAAUAGUGCUAUUGUGGGUCCUUCAGAACAGCACAGCUUGGAAGAAUAAGCACAAGGCACCAUGUUGAGGAAAUGGGAUUUCCUGCGUUGAAGGACAAUCUGAGCCAGUGCUGGUCCUACUUGACAGAAAUUUCCUUCACCAAGGAUCUGGGCUCCAGACUGCUAUCAAGAGUGAGGAAGAUUGGAAAGAUGUCACCCACAGACUCACUUUAUUCAGGGAAAAUUGCUGCUGACAAGUCCAUUUUGUUACCCUGAAACACUUGAAGGAAAUCUAAUCCAUUUGUUAAGCCCACAAGGAGAGGCUGGGCUGACUGCCAGGAUUUCCCCUACGUGCUGGAAAUGGGCAAAAGCAGAAAAAGGAAUGGAAGGAGCUGCUAGUAUUCAUCCAGGCCCUGGGAGUCAACUAGAGAGGGAGAGUCCAGUCAGAUGUCUGGGUUCAGUUUUCCAGGCAGCAUCCUUGUGACACAAAUAAGCAAAGUCUGGGGCUAGCUCUUGGACCCACUGCCAUUAUUUCUUGUGGUGAGUUACUCUGUGCAGUUUUGUGACUCUUGGUGCUUCAGCUUGAGUAACCCACUUAAGGUGAGGUAAGGAUGAUACACUUGCUCUCAGUUAUCUAUGGACUAACUUCAUUAGAACCAGAGUCAGUCUAGGUGACAGGAACUGUCUGCAGGAUGAAGCUUAAGAUCAGGUAUCUAUUGCACAAAAACAAGUCUGUCCUGCAAAGCAGUGGCUGCGGUGUAGUGCGUAUGCACACACACAGUGCCUUUUGUUAAAGGCAGCAGCUUGAACAAAAACAACCAGGUUUGGGACACAUGGAUAGUCUGGGAAGGAGCUAGCAUUACUGAAAGCUCUCUGUGGAGGAGUACUUUUAUCUGUGAUGUAGCUAUGCUGGUGUCUCUUGUAGAAUUACUAGCCAAGGAAGUACUCUUUAGGUUUACAGGGAUGAUUCUCAUGCUCUCCUAUUUGCCAGCAGAAGCGAUUCCCUCAGAAGCUUCUCUUCUUGCUAUUAAUUUCUUUCCUAAGGCACAGUAGGAACAGGGAUGAGGGAAGUGAUUGUACUUGCUGAGCAAUUCCCAGAAAGAAGUUUCCUGGAUGGAAGUGAGUUUGCCACUGGCUGCCAGAGGGCUUGGGGGAGCUGCCUCUCCUGAAGUAUCAUUGAAUCGCAUGCCAAUGGGGAGUCCAUCUGCUCAAUCAAUUUAAAUUGGAUUUCUCUUCUCCAAAGGAAAACCAGCAGACAGCUGUGCGCUGUGUGGCUAAUUGUACUGGUGCUUUGGAAGCACUAAGAGAAAGAAUGCAACACAUCUGUAGUGGGAGAAAACGCUGCAUAUUAGAACAUACAAUAGCCCAAUGUGCACUACCAGCCUUUUUUAGAUCCCCUGUCAAAGAGGGCAAACAAUUGAUAACUAUCUGUGAUAGACAAGCCACUUAGAGCCUUUUGCUCUAAUUUGCUAACAGGGUGAAUAGCUGUACUGAGGAAGAACAGCUACUGCAUAAAAGAGCAAUCUGAUAUUCUAACUGUAUGUGUACAACUAAUCACAUGGAGAGGAUCCUCUAGUGACACGUGUAGCACUUCCAGGGAGCGAAGAGAGGUUUAAUAAGUUGUAGCCAAAACUAUAGUUCAGAUUUAUAUAGCAGCUUCCUAUUUGUGGUAUCUGAAGUGUGUGUGAGGGGGAGGUUGUGUAAGCUCCAGAAAUCAUUUCAAUGAAAUAAUUACCAUAAACAGAAGUUGUAUUGAUUAAUUUCUUGAUAGAAAUAUGGUAUGUGCAUACAAUACUACAUUCCCAAGAUAGUAUCUGAUCUAUUCUAAGACAGCAUCUCUCAAUUUCAAUUGUCUUUAAUACAGUCAUUUCUUUUAAAGGUUAUACAUCUAAUGGAAUAAUUACAUGUCUGCAAAUGCAUGCUGGCAGAGUCAUUUUGUAGCUUUGAAACAUCUUUUCUUACCUUUUAUGUUUUGUGCUACACAAAGGCUGUUUCUUCUUUGUUCAAAUAAUAGACUUAUAACUACAUAAAAUGGAAGUAGCUGGCAAAAGCUCACUUCUAAUUACACUGAUGAGCAUUCCCCAAAUACCCUCCAGUUCUUCAUAUAGUAAUUACAAUUUGUCAGCCUAAUGCCAGUGAGUAUGUAGUCCUCCUAAACAGAUCUAGCACUCUGCCUGAGUGUCCUGCUAGCAGACUAAAUACCUUUUUCUGCUCUCUUAUUUUGAGCUGAUCUGUAUGAACACUGUAAAAAGCUGAGGACUGUAUUAGUGAAAUGGGCAAUCCUGGGGGGUUGCCAAUUACUAUGACUGUGAGGUAUAUAUGGAUUUUAGGUCUCUUCCUCCAGUAAAAAUAAAUCGUUUUUACUUUUCGAAUGUGUCA